UUUAAUGCGAAUAUCCAAAAAUAUACUAAAAUUUGCUAUAUUUUUAACUGACAUGCAGUUCCCCUCGCCUCAAAUCAUGCUAUCGUGUACAGUAAUCACCAAUAGCUACUCUGAGUCUCCCACAAUCGUUUGAUAGUAGCGUAAAAGUGGGAUGUAAUAUUACAUACUCUGGGACAGCCCAAUACCAUAUUUAGAAUCGAGUCAUGCCAUACAAGGCAAAGAUAUCCCUAAAUGGUGAAACGAAAUCCCUCCUUCAUUGUCGGCAUAGUGAUCAAAGAGGUAUUAUGCGUGUGUAUUGUGCACGCGCAAACGUUUCUUACGGUGGCAGCACCCGCUGUGCUCCUGGGGAUUUUAAGCACCCACUGUCAUCUGAAUACAAACUUUAACCCAUUUAAACAUGAAAUUAUAAUUUCUUCAAUUUUAAAUAUAGAAACAACUCAUUUGCUAGAAAUAGUGUUUUUAAGACGGUUGGUGUAUGCACUGCAGAUAGGUAGAUAAACACUUUUAUUUCAAACAAUUUACUUCGAUACGCAGUAAUUAUGUUUAUACACGUCAACAGAUGUAUGGUCUCGGCACACAGAAGACACUAAAUAUUUUAAACUUGUGUAUUAGUAUUUCUUUCAGAAUUUGUGUAUUAGUACCAAGUUUACAUUGCAAACUGUUAAAUAAUUUUAUGUUUUAUGCUAAGUAGAUGUAUUGCUUUUCAGUUAAGACUAAUUUAUGUCGUGGCAAGUUAUGUUUAAUUUAACUACUCGUUGUGUUGUAAAAACUGAAGUUAGGUAAUGUGAAAUUGUAAAUGUUAUUUUUAAUUUAUUUAUUUUUAAAAACAUAAUAAAGGGUUAUUCACGC